CAACGAGUUGCGAACUCGCGAGAGUAAGCUAAUCUCUUAAAGCCGUUCUCAGUUCGGACUGUAGGCUGCAACUCGCCUACACGAAGUCGGAAUCGCUAGUAAUCGCGGAUCAGCAUGCCGCGGUGAAUACGUUCCCGGGCCUUGUACACACCGCCCGUCACACCAUGGAAGUUUGCAAUGCCCAAAGUCGGUGGCCUAACCAUUUGGAGGGAACCGCCUAAGGCAGGGGCAGAUGACUGGGGUGAAGUCGUAACAAGGUACC
rnacentral:rRNA from 1 species